AGUUAAUUGUCACAUCAUAGGGUUGUAACUGCUUUCCUCGAGGUGCAAACACCGGGAGCUCAGAAUGUGUCAGGCUCUCACCGUCCACAGCAGGGAAGGGCAGAGACGACGAGGAACAAGGAUGCGGGUCAUUGGUGACCGGAACGCGAACGCUCCCAUUAUUUCCUUCUUCCCCGCAGUCUGUGAUCGAUCAGGGCAAGUGAGAUGCUCUGGGUUUUGCAGAUGGAGACAUGAAGGUCCCGAGAAGGUGACCUGUGCCAGUUGGCACAGCAAGCUAGGAAGAACUGGCACUGGGAUGGUGGUGGUUGUAGCUCAGACCUCACUGAGUGCAGACUCCACGCAAGGAGGAAGGGACGCCUUUUCUGUCAGCGUGAGCAUCUGGGUCAGUCAACCCUUGUCAUCCGUGGCAUGA
rnacentral:lncRNA from 1 species